rnacentral:rRNA from 1 species
UACAGAGGUCUCAAGCGUUUGUUCGGAUUCAUUGGGCGUAAAGGGUGCGUAGGCGGCGCGGUAAGUCGGGUGUGAAAUCUCGGGGCUUAACUCCGAAACUGCAUUCGAUACUGCCGUGAUUGAGGACUGGAGAGGAGACUUGGAAUUUACGGUGUAGCGGUGAAAUGCGUAGAUAUCGUAAGGAAGACCAGUGGCGAAAGGCGGGGUCU